AUGAACUAUGGCACGGCCGGCACACAGGGAACAGACGGCACCGGCGGCAGUGGCACCUUGGGCACGCCAUGGACGGACGGCAUCGGCGGCAGUGGCACCUUGGGCAGGUCGGGGACGGACGGCAUAGGGGGCAGCGGCACGUUAGGCACGCCGGGGACGGAUGGCAUCGGCAACAUCGGCACGCCUGGCACUGUCGGCACGCUCGGCGCAGUGUGCACUGUCGGCACGACGGCACCGGGUACUGCCGGCAGCGGCACUGUCGGCACACCUGGCACGGUGGGAACCGCCGGGAUGGUUGGCACGGCGGCGCCAGGUACUGGUACCGUUGGCACACCUAGCACGGUGGGCACCAUCGGCACGCCGGGCACGGUGGGCACCGUUGGCACCGUUGGGACGCCUGGCACUGUGGGAACCGUAGGAACGACGCCGCCUGGCACGGCGGGGACUGUAGGGACGACCGGCACGGGGGGCAAGGUUGGCAGCGUCGGUGUGGGCUAG
rnacentral:rRNA from 1 species